UACGUAGGUGGCAAGCGUUGUCCGGAAUUAUUGGGCGUAAAGCGCGCGCAGGCGGUCCUUUAAGUCUGAUGUGAAAGCCCUCGGCUCAACCGAGGAGGGUCAUUGGAAACUGGAGGACUUGAGUGCAGGAGAGGAAAGUGGAAUUCCAAGUGUAGCGGUGAAAUGCGUAGAGAUUUGGAGGAACACCAGUGGCGAAGGCGACUUUCUGGUCUGUAACUGACGCUGAGGCGCGAAAGCGUGGGGAGCAAACAGGAUUAGAAACCCCCGUAGUCC
rnacentral:rRNA from 1 species